rnacentral:rRNA from 1 species
CCUACGGGAGGCUGCAGUUAAGAAUCUUGCACAAUGGGCGCAAGCCUGAUGCAGCGACGCCGCGUGAAUGAUGAAGGCCUUCGGGUUGUAAAGUUCAGUAAGCAGGGAAGAAUAAGCAACGGGUAAUAUUCGUUGUGAUGACGGUACCUGCCUAAAGCCCCGGCUAACUACGUGCCAGCAGCCGCGGUAAUACGUAUGGGGCAAGCGUUGUUGGGAAUUGGUGGGCGAGAAGGGCGACUAAGCUGGAGGUGAAAGCCACGGGCUCAACCCGUGAACUGCAUCUAAGACUGGUUCUCUUGAGUCCGGGAGAGGAGAGCGGAAUUCCAGGUGUAGCGGUGAAAUGCGUAGAUAUCUGGAAGAACACCAGUGGCGAAGGCGGCUCUCUGGCCUAGGACUGACGCUGAAGCGCGAAAGCGUGGGGAGCGAACAGGAUUAGAUACCCUUGUAGUC